UACAGAGGGGGCAAGCGUUGUUCGGAAUUACUGGGCGUAAAGGGCGCGUAGGCGGCCCGCUAAGUCGAACGUGAAAUCCCCAGGCUCAACCUGGGAACUGCGUCCGAUACUGGCAGGCUUGAAUCCGGGAGAGGGAUGUGGAAUUCCAGGUGUAGCGGUGAAAUGCGUAGAUAUCUGGAGGAACACCGGUGGCGAAGGCGGCAUCCUGGACCGGCAUUGACGCUGAGGCGCGAAAGCGAGGGGAGCAAACGGG
rnacentral:rRNA from 1 species